ensembl:lncRNA
CGAAGGUUUAACAGGUGCUGCCUGUUAAACUGCAAUUCAGAUCUGGAUAUGGUUUUAUGGUAUCUCAACUAUGAUUAAAAAUCCUAAUGGGAACAGUGGGAACUGGUUUAGGUUCAGCCGCCAACCAAUUACGUUUCUGACGUCACUGUCUGUAUGUUGUCUACGCGACCUUUUUAUUCCGACCAAUCAGAGGAUAGCUGAGCCGGCGUACCGCGGCCGAUCAUUAUGGGGGCCGUCUGAGCUGUCACUGGAGCUGCGAUCUGGACCACUAUCAACUCCUAACGGGGGAUUAAAGCCAGCACGGAGAUCUGCGUACUGCCGCAAACAAACACACUCGCCUCUUCACCAAAAACAUGUGGACUAUGGCGCUAUUUUAAUCCAAAGAGCCUCGCAGCUUCCAGCCCCAGGCGACCUAUUUCUGACAUGGAGGUGAUGGCUUAUGGUUCCACCGCACCGUGCAUAGCUGCUGCUGCUGCAGGACCAAAAAGAAGGAAACGCAUCGCAAAGAAGUCAACCACCAUUAUCAUGAGGAAUGCAUUAAAGUUUCCUUUUUUAUGCAAGUCUGUAAAGUAGGAUGGAUAAAUGUGUUCGAUGUGGUUUGCAAGGACGGGAAACGACAUACAGAUAAAGGAAAGGGUUACCCGAGCCUUUCUGGACAAGACUGACCAAAGGGACCGAACCACAAUGAUACAACCCGCCAGGAAGGGACGUGCUGUCAGCUGCGCACUCGGGCAGUUCUGACCUCGCUGGUCCACGAGUCGCUGGUGCACUGGGUCGCUGGUCGCUGGCCCAACGGGGUGCCGGCCCACUGGGUUGCUAGUCCACCU